UUUAAUAUGGCAGAUAAAUGCAAUAGAUUUAAAUUCUAUCAAUAAAGUAUAACUUUUAUUAAAA